UUGCUGUCGAUGUUUCGGGACGAGGCCCUUCCCCACGACUGGAAAGGAAGAGCGCAGAAGACAGAAGCUCAGCAGCUUCAGGCGCCGCAUUUUAACCCGAACGAGUAGUGAAGUAGCCAGUGAGCUAGAUUGUAUGGAGGCUGAAGGAAUUCUUUCCAAGAUUGAGUGGAGCUCAACAACAAUGCCAGUGGUCCCAGUAGCCAAGAAGAAUCGAUCUGUCAGCAUUUGUGGCGUUUCUAAGAAGCUGCCUGACUUGCUGAUUUCCUCCAGAACAUUGUGGGUGUUUACUUUCUAGUCUGGUGAGAAACUUUCCAGUGAUCGACGCUACCACUUCUCCGUGGAAGCAGCCCCUCAC